UGGGGAAUUUUGGACAAUGGGGGAAACCCUGAUCCAGCCAUCCCGCGUGUGCGAUGAAGGCCUUCGGGUUGUAAAGCACUUUUGGCAGGAAAGAAACGUCGUGGGUUAAUACCCCGCGAAACUGACGGUACCUGCAGAAUAAGCACCGGCUAACUACGUGCCAGCAGCCGCGGUAAUACGUAGGGUGCAAGCGUUAAUCGGAAUUACUGGGCGUAAAGCGUGCGCAGGCGGUUCGGAAAGAAAGAUGUGAAAUCCCAGAGCUUAACUUUGGAACUGCAUUUUUAACUACCGGGCUAGAGUGUGUCAGAGGGAGGUGGAAUUCCGCGUGUAGCAGUGAAAUGCGUAGAUAUGCGGAGGAACACCGAUGGCGAAGGCAGCCUCCUGGGAUAACACUGACGCUCAUGCACGAAAGCGUGGGGAGCAAACAGGAUUAGAUACCCUGGUAGUCCACGCCCUAAACGAUGUCAACUAGCUGUUGGGGUCUUCGGACCUUGGUAGCGCAGCUAACGCGUGAAGUUGACCGCCUGGGGAGUACGGUCGCAAGAUU
rnacentral:rRNA from 1 species